AAACUUGUGGAACUUGAUGACUGAUAUUUGAGAUUUUAAGUUGAAAAUAUAGUUGUUAUAUAUUUAUAGUUGAAUUUUAUUUAAAAAAAUAAAAAAGAAUGAAUGGGCAUCUUGAUACUUACCUUUAUUUACAAAUAUAAUUUUUAAUAUAUAUAUAUAUAUAUGGGAAAAUUUUAAAAAAUUCUCCUGUUUCGUAGUUUCUCAAUUUAGUACCCUAUAAUUUAAAGUGCAUCAAUUUGCCCUCCUGUGGUUUCGUUUUUAUUUUUUCGGUAGCUUUUUCGUUAAUAUUUCAUUAAAUUAUAUACAAAAAACUUCAGAUACCCAUCUAUAUUUAUCAAAUAUUUAUUUUAGUACCUUUUAAUUUUAACUUUAUUACUGAUUUAAGAAAAAAAAUAAUAAAAUUGAUAAGAAAAAGAGAAAAAAGAAACCAUAGGGGGACAAAUUGAUAUAUUUUAANUAUAAAAUAAAUAUUUUAAAACUUCUAUCAAAUUAUUUUUAAUUAUUUAUUUAUUAUUAUUAUGCAUUUUAUUACUCUUUUUUCUUCCAAUAAAAUUUCUAU
rnacentral:lncRNA from 1 species